UACGGAGGGUGCAAGCGUUGUCCGGAUUUAUUGGGUUUAAAGGGUGCGUAGGCGGCCCGUUAAGUCAGUGGUGAAAGCCUCCAGCUCAACUGGAGAACUGCCAUUGAUACUGACAGGCUUGAGUACAGACGAGGUUGGCGGAAUUGAUUGUGUAGCGGUGAAAUGCAUAGAUAUCGUCAAGAACACCGAUAGCGAAGGCAGCUUACUGGGCUGUAACUGACGCUGAUGCACGAAAGUGUGGGGAUCAAACAGG
rnacentral:rRNA from 1 species